rnacentral:lncRNA from 1 species
GGUCGUGCAGGCUGGGCCGCAUGUCUGGUGCAUGUGUGGCCCUUUUUGCUUAUGUGUGGGCCUCCAUAUCUCUACAUCGAGAAAGUUAUCUGUCUUCGGGUUUCUUGAGAGUAUAAGGUCACCUUGACUGCUUCACCACAGAACUGGGGAACACUGAUCGAUGUGUGGGCUAAGUAUCAUGUAUGUGCAUUGCAAUGUAUGUGUACCCCACAGUACCCAAAC